AGCGAACGCUGGCGGCAGGCCUAACACAUGCAAGUCGAACGAAGUCUUCGGACUUAGUGGCGGACGGGUGAGUAACACGUGGGAACGUACCUUUUGGUUCGGAACAACUCAGGGAAACUUGAGCUAAUACCGGAUGAGCCCUUAGGGGGAAAGAUUUAUCGCCGAAAGAGCGGCCCGCGUUAGAUUAGCUAGUCGGUGAGGUAAAGGCUCACCAAGGCUACGAUCUAUAGCUGGUCUGAGAGGAUGAUCAGCCACACUGGGACUGAGACACGGCCCAGACUCCUACGGGAGGCAGCAGUGGGGAAUCUUGCGCAAUGGGCGAAAGCCUGACGCAGCCAUGCCGCGUGAAUGAUGAAGGUCUUAGGAUUGUAAAAUUCUUUUACCAGGGACGAUAAUGACGGUACCUGGAGAAAAAGCCCCGGCUAACUUCGUGCCAGCCGCCGCGGAACAC
rnacentral:rRNA from 1 species